GCAGUGGUGGUUCAGUAGUAGAAUUCUCACCUUUUAUGCUAGAGACCUGGGUUCAAUUCCUGGCCAAUGCA
rnacentral:tRNA from 1 species